AUUGAACGCUGGCGGCAUGCUUUACACAUGCAAGUCGAACGGUAACAGGUUAAGCUGACGAGUGGCGAACGGGUGAGUAAUGCAUCGGAACGUGCCCGAUCGUGGGGGAUAACGUAGCGAAAGUUACGCUAAUACCGCAUACGAUCUGAGGAUGAAAGCGGGGGACCGUAAGGCCUCGCGCGAUCGGAGCGGCCGAUGUCAGAUUAGGUAGUUGGGGGGGUAAAGGCCCACCAAGCCGACGAUCUGUAGCUGGUCUGAGAGGACGACCAGCCACACUGGGACUGAGACACGGCCCAGACUCCUACGGGAGGCAGCAGUGGGGAAUUUUGGACAAUGGGCGCAAGCCUGAUCCAGCAAUGCCGCGUGCAGGAAGAAGGCCUUCGGGUUGUAAACUGCUUUUGUACGGAGCGAAAAGGCUCUCUCUAAUACAGGGGGCUCAUGACGGUACCGUAAGAAUAAGCACCGGCUAACUACGUGCCAGCCGCCGCGGUAA
rnacentral:rRNA from 1 species